AUUGAACGCUAACGGCGUGCUUAACACAUGCAAGUCGAGCGGCAGCACAGUAGUAGUAAUACUACGGGUGGCGAGCGGCGGACGGGUGAGUAAUGCAUAGGAAUCUGCCUUAUAGUGGGGGAUAACCCGGGGAAACUCGGGCUAAUACCGCAUAAUCUCUACGGAGCAAAGUGGGGGACCGUAAGGCCUCACGCUAAAAGAUGAGCCUAUGUUGGAUUAGCUAGUUGGUAGGGGAAAGGCCUACCAAGGCAACGAUCAAUAGCUGGUCUGAGAGGAUGAUCAGCCACACUGGGACUGAGACACGGCCCAGACUCCUACGGGAGGCAGCAGUGGGGAAUAUUGGACAAUGGGCGAAAGCCUGAUCCAGCAACGCCGUGUGUGUGUGAAGAAGGCCUUCGGGUUGUAAAGCACUUUUAGUUGGGAAGAAAAGCUCAAGACUAAUACCCUUGAGUGAUGACGUUACCAACAGAAGAAGCACUGGCUAACUCUGUGCCAGCCGCCGCGGUAAGAC
rnacentral:rRNA from 1 species